rnacentral:rRNA from 1 species
UACGGGGGGGGCAAGCGUUGUUCGGAAUUACUGGGCGUAAAGGGCUCGUAGGUGGCCAACUAAGUCAGACGUGAAAUCCCUCAGCUUAACUGGGGAACUGCGUCUGAUACUGGAUGGCUUGAGUUUGGGAGAGGGAUGCGGAAUUCCAGGUGUAGCGGUGAAAUGCGUAGAUAUCGGGAGGAACACCAGUGGCGAAGGCGGGCACCUGGGCCGACACUGACGCUGAGGCGCGAAAAGCUAGGGGAGCAACAGGAGUAAGAU